CAAAUGUUCUCUCCUUUCUUGCUAUUCAGUUCUUACAAUGUAAAUCCGGAUUCCCCAAACCAUCAAAUUACAACAACACGAUUUCAAGGUUCUUAUACCCUGCUUAUCAACGUCGUAUCUGAGCACCUUCCGCUAGCACAUUAAGCAUCGUGACUAACAUUUGUCAUGUGGUGUUUAUUCUCUGAUCCUCUCCCCGAGGGGAGAAAGGAGUCCAGUGGACUGUCUUUUGUUGGUAGGUUUUCUCUGGAGGGCGGGGAGCGUACGUGGUGGCUUUUUAACGUGAAUUCUGUUAUGUAUCUGUUAGAGACGGCAGCUCAAAGAAAUGCGUCUUUCACUUGGAGUGGAAGGUGAUAAGGUUUGUGUAGUUACGUGUGGAGCUCAUUGCACAGUCUCAGCCCAGCUCCAGAGAAAGUUACAUCUCCCAGGCAGAGGAGCUUGAUAUUUAUUGUAGAGAGGAGUGUAGUUGUCAAACAUGAUUUUUGUCCUGGGGCCUUAGGCAGUGCUGUAGAUAUCAGGCCACGGAGUGCCUUGACGAUAAGGACAGAAACCUUGAAUGUGAUCCGGUAUUCUCUGGGAAAGCAGUACUGGGGUGGCGGAACUGGAGGGCCAGUGGGGGCUAGCGCUUCUGCAGUGGAAAUAUUGCGGGGGCUGAUCUAUAUCCUCCCCGUCCCCCCGAGCAAUAUUUCCUCAGUGCCUGUGGAGAGUGUGAAAUCAGGCAGCCCAGGCUUUGCUCUUCCUGUGUCCCCACCCCCUGGGCACUGGGCAAAGGACAUACCUGGAGGCAGGGAAUGGAACUUGGCUGGGCGAAGCCACAUCAUUUUGAGGGGGGCCGGCAUUUCCUCUCAGGAGCAGAAGACUGGGAGCUGAGCGAGCGUUUGCUUAGGGUGCCCAGAGUAGGGAAGCAGGACCAGGGACACUGUCCUGACCAUUUCCUUAGCCUGCCAUGCCAAGGUGAGUGCCUGCCCUGCUGCCCAGGCUCUCUCUGGGAAUGUCUACACAGGAAUAAAAAACUUAGUGACUGGUCUGGGUCAGCUGAGUGGGGCUCGCAGGGCUCGGGCUCCGGAGCUGAAAAAUUGCUGUGUAGAUGUUUGGACUCGGGCUGGGGCCCUGGGAAGGGGGAAUGUCCGAGAGCUCAGGUUGCAGCCCGAGCCCCCCAAGUCGGAGUCAGCUGGCGUGGGCCAGCCACAGCCAUGCUAGAAGCCCUGUAUCCCUGUGUAGACGUACCCUCUGAGCCUUGGACUCCUUGAUACACCCCCCACCUUUUCAAGUCAUGCUUCUGCUGCUUUUGAGCCAGUGUGGAGCGCAGAGGAGAGCUCUGAUGUGCUCCCAGUAGCCUUCCAUAGUCCCCUAUUAAGAAUGAAGGAGAAAAUCAUAUGUUGUUCUUUAGGUGAAAAAUAAAUAUAUAAAACCAGAAAGAUUAUAAGCAAAUAAAAGAUUUCAUCUAUAAGGAGGCAGCAUUGCAUGUGCUAGUUCCUCAGAUGGAUGAUAUGGCGCUCUGAGUGUGUAGUUACAGUACACAGUGCUUUAAAACAGGUAUCUGAACUAAAGUAAUUGCUUAAUUGUGUUGAAUAUAUACAAUAAAGAAUCUCACGUGGGCUUCAUAAGGACUAGACAGUAUUUUGCAUAGCAUACACAUGGUCCAUUGUUAAAUAAGAAUAUUCAAUGUGACUAGACACUGAAGAAACUAAUAUCCUGCUAUAAAAAUGUUGUUUAUAUACAUAUAUGGAGAUACACCUAUUUCAUAGAACUGGAAGGGACCUUGAGUCCAGUCCCCUCCAUUCACUAGCAAUACCAAGUACUGGCCCUGACAGUUUUUGUUUUUUUCUCCCCGGAGAAAAUCCCUAAAUAGCUCCCUUAAGGAUUGAACUCACAACUGUGGGUUUAGCAGGCCAAUGCGCAAACCACUAAGCUAUCCCUCCCCCUAAUGAACAUCUCUGUAGGUGUCCAUUCCUGAAGCAGAGCGGAACUUCUAGAGGAAUGUUCCAUCUCAGCUUUGUUUUAUGGUGGGAAGAAGAGCAGAUUCACGGACAGCCUAGUUCUCUGUUAGUUAGCUUGUGUAAUUAUCAACACUUGUCAUCAGUCACCUUUUGUUGUUUGUCCCUUGCAGUUACUACUUCUGCUGAAAAAUUAACCCUAGCCUGUGACAUCAGAAUGCGUGUUUUUUCCUGCUUUUUCUAAGAUUUUGCACUACGAAAAAAAUGCUAUAACCUCUGCUUUAACCUGAAAUGAGUUAAAAUGUUUCUGUUCUAUGCAGUUACACGUAAUACAAGAACAAGUAUUUGUUCCUGACAAUACUGAAAAGUACAACCAAUGAAAAGUUUAGUCUAAAUGAAUACUUUGAAGUCUAAAGAAAGAUGUGUGUAAGACUGAAGUAUAGAACUAUUUUGAUUUUAAUUGUUUGUCUUCCUUUUGCAGUAUAAAUGACUGAUGCUGGCUGACUAUGGUUUACACAUUAACAGACAUUGGAAGAAAAUCAUGGAAAAGUUAGGAAAUAAAUGUCAUACAUUUGUACUGAAAUUUCUUUAGUGAAAAUAAAACCCUUCUCAGGUAACUUUCA